rnacentral:rRNA from 1 species
UCUUUGGAGAGUUUGAUCUUGGCUCAGGACGAACGCUGGCGGCGUGCCUAAUACAUGCAAGUCGAGCGCGGGAAGCAUACAGAAGCCUUCGGGUGGACGUAUGUGGAACGAGCGGCGGACGGGUGAGUAACAC